rnacentral:rRNA from 1 species
CCUACGGGUGGCUGCAGUGGGGAAUAUUGGACAAUGGGGGCAACCCUGAUCCAGCCAUGCCGCGUGUGUGAAGAAGGCCCUCGGGUUGUAAAGCACUUUCAGUGAGGAAGAACGCCUGGUGGUUAAUACCCAUCAGGAAAGACAUCACUCACAGAAGAAGCACCGGCUAACUCCGUGCCAGCAGCCGCGGUAAUACGGAGGGUGCGAGCGUUAAUCGGAAUUACUGGGCGUAAAGCGCGCGUAGGUGGCUUGAUAAGCCGGUUGUGAAAGCCCCGGGCUCAACCUGGGAACGGCAUCCGGAACUGUCAAGCUAGAGUGAAGGAGAGGAAGGUAGAAUUCCCGGUGUAGCGGUGAAAUGCGUAGAGAUCGGGAGGAAUACCAGUGGCGAAGGCGGCCUUCUGGACUGACACUGACACUGAGGUGCGAAAGCGUGGGUAGCAAACAGGAUUAGAUACCUUAGUAGUC